AAAAACAAACUAGAGGCUCUCAAGAGCCUGUGUCGCUCACCUUGGUCUAUAUGCAUAUUAAACAAUGGACACAGAUAAAUUCAUGACAUAAUUGUGUUUUGGUGGUGGUGAUGUGUUUGUAGAUCUUACUUUACUGAACAUUCUUGUUGCUACAAUUAUCUCUAUCUAUAAUGAACUUGGCCCAGUAAUUACAGUGGAAAAUAUGUUCUAAAAAUUUACAAAAAUUUAUGAAAAAUGCUAAAAAUUAACUAUAAAGGGCAAUAACUCCUUAGGGGGUCAAUUGACUAUUUUGGUCAUGAAAACUUAUUUGUAGAUCUUGUUUUGCUGAACAUUAUUGCUGUUUACAGUUUAUCUCUAUCUAUAAUAAUAUUCAAGAUAAUAACAAAAAACGGCAAAAUUUCCUUAAAAUUACCAACUCAGGGCAGUAACCUAACAACGGGUUGUCCGAUCCAUGUGAAAAUAUCAGGGCAGAUAGAUCUUGACCUGAUAAACAAUUUUACCCAUGUCAGAUUUGCUCUAAAUGCUUUGGUUUUUGAGUUAUAAGCCAAAAACUGCAUUUUACCCAUAUGUUCUAU
rnacentral:lncRNA from 1 species